rnacentral:rRNA from 1 species
GUAACACGUGGGUAACCUGCCUCAUAGAGGGGAAUAGCCUUUCGAAAGGAAGAUUAAUACCGCAUAAGAUUGUAGUACCGCAUGGUACAGCAAUUAAAGGAGUAAUCCGCUAUGAGAUGGACCCGCGUCGCAUUAGCUAGUUGGUGAGGUAACGGCUCACCAAGGCGACGAUGCGUAGCCGACCUGAGAGGGUGAUCGGCCACAUUGGGACUGAGACACGGCCCAGACUCCUACGGGAGGCAGCAGGUGGGGAAUAUUGCACAAUGGGGGAAACCCUGAAUGCAGCAACGCCGCGUGAGUGAUGACGGCCUUCGGGUUGUAAAACUCUGUCUUUGGGGACGAUAAUGACGGUACCCAAGGAGGAAGCCACGGCUAACUACGUGCCAGCCGCAGC